UAAGCAUAUCACUGAGCGCAGGAGAAGAAACUAACCAGGAUUUCCCUAGUAACGGCGAGCGAACCGGAAAGAGCCCAGCUUGAAAAUCGUGGCGCCCCGGCGCCUCGAAUUGUAGUCUGGAGAAGGUCCCUCUGCGGCGCGCCGGAUUCAAGUUCCCUGGAAUGGGACGUCCGAGAGGGUGAGAACCCCGUCGUAUCCGGAGUGCGUCGCUCCACGAGGACCUGUCUGCGAGUCGGGCUGUUUGGGAAUGCAGCCCUAAGCGGGUGGUAAAUUCCAUCCAAGGCUAAAUAUUGGCAAGAGACCGAUAGCGAACAAGUACCGCGAGGGAAAGAUGAAAAGGACUUUGAAAAGAGAGUUAAAAAGUGCUUGAAAUUGCUGGGAGGGAAGCGAAUGGAAGCUGCGGGUGCGCCCCGGUUGGAUGUGGAACGGCCGUCAAACGCUGGUCCGCCGCUCAACGCGGGGCGCUGGUCAGCGUGGGCCAUCGCGGCGGGACAAGAGCGGGGAUUCGCUUCCCGCCGAUGCCGCUGCGGUGGCCGAGGAACGAAGCGCGCGCCUCCUGGCGUGGGACUUGUCCCAACUGCGCGCUCGAGACGCUGGCGUAUUGAGCUCUUCAUCCGACCCGUCUUGAAACACGGACCAAGGAGUCUAACAUGUAUGCGAGCCGGUGGGCGGCAAACCCAUUGAGGCGCAAGUAACCUGACAGGUGGGACCCCGCUUGCGGGAGCACCAUCGACCGACCGUGAUCUUCUGUGAAGGGUUC
rnacentral:rRNA from 1 species